UUCCAGUGUAAAGUUGACUUCGUAUUUUCAACCCUAAAACGACGUACAAUGGACCAAAUUUAGCAAUCCUGGUGGCAUCUGAAAGGGGACAUGUUUCUCUAUCUACUGAUGGUCCCUUCCUGCGAAACGUUGGCUUCGUACUUUCGACCCUAAAACGACUGAAGAUGGGCCAAUUCUGGCACUCCUGGUGGCAUCUUAAAGGGGACAUGUUUCUCUAUCUACUGAUGGUCCCUUCCUGCGAAAAGUUGGUUUCGUACUUUCGACCCUAAAACGACUGAAGAUGGUCCAAUUCUGGCAAUCUUGGUGGCAUCUGAAUGGGGACAUGUUUCUCUAUCUACAGAUGUAAGUUUUAUUUCUGUAUUUGCUGUAGUUAUUGAAUUAUCCGCGGAAGAAGGCAAGAAGUCCUGACCCACUCCUUAGUAUUUUUUGCAUUUGUGCUUUCAUUUACACGUUUGAGGGUCCCUUCCCGCGAAAAGUUGGCUUCGUACUUUCGGCCCUAAAACGACUGAAGAUGGUCCAAUUCUGGCAAUCGUGGUGGCAUCUGAAUGGGGACAUGUUUUUCUAUCUGCAGAUGGUCCCUUCCCGCGUAAAGUUGACUUCGUAUUUCUCACCCUAAAACGACUUCCAAUGGACCAAAUCUGGCAAUCCUGGUUGCAUCUGAAUGGGGACAUGUUUCUCUAUCUACUGAUGGUCCCUUCCCGCGUAAAGUUGACUUCGUAUUUUCGACCCUAAAACGACGUACAAUGGACCAAAUCUGGCAAUCUUGGUGGCAUCUUAAAAGGUGCCAUGUUCGCCUAUCUACUGAUGGUCCCUUCUCGCGAAACGAUGGCUUCGUACUUUCGACCCUAAAACGACCGAAGAUGGUCCACUUCUGGCAAUCCUGGUGACAUCUGAAAGGGGACAAGUUCCUCUAUCUACUGAUGGUCCCUUCCCGCGUAAAGUUGACUUCGUAUUUUCGACCCUAAAACGACAUACAAUGGACCAAAUCUGGCAAUCCUGGUGGCAUCUUAAAAGGGGACAUGUUCGCCUAACUACUGAUGGUCCCCUCCAGCGUAAAGUUGACUUCGUAUUUUCGACCCUAAAACGACUUACAAUGGACCAAAUCUAGCAAUCCUGGUGGCAUCUCAAAGGGGACGUGUUCCUAUAUCUACAGAUGGUCCCUUCCCGCGUAAAGUUGGCUUCGUAUUUUUGACCCUAAAACGACUGAAGAUGGUCCAAUUCUGGCAAUCCUUGUGGCAUCUGAAAGGGGACAUGUUUCUCUAUCUACUGAUGGUCCCUUCCCGUGAAAAAUUGGCUUCGUACUUUCGACCCUAAAACGACUUACAAUGGACCAAAUCUGGCAAUCCUGGUGGCAUCUAAAAGGGGAUAUGUUUCUCUAUCUG